UGGGGAAUAUGGCACAUUGGGCAACCUGAAUGCAGCAUGCCGCGUGGUGUUGAGAGCUUCGGGUGUAAGCACUUCAAGCAGUGAGAAGCGUAUCGUUAACUAGCGUAUUCGUUUGACGUUAGCUGCAGAAGAAAGCACCGGGCUAACUCCGUGCCAGCAGCCGCGGGUAAUACGGAGGGUGCGAGCGUUAAUCGGGAAUUACUGGGCGUAAAGCGCAUGCAGGCGGCUUGUUAAGCCAGAUGUGAAAGCCCGGGGCUCAACCUCGGAAUCGCAUUUGGAACUGGCAGGCUAGAGUCUUGUAGAGGGGGGUAGAAUUUCAGGUGUAGCGGUGAAAUGCGUAGAGAUCUGAAGGAAUACCGGUGGCGAAGGCGGCCCCCUGGACAAAGACUGACGCUCAGAUGCGAAAGCGUGGGGAGCAAACAGGAUUAGAUACCCUGGUAGUCCACGCCGUAAACGAUGUCUACUUGGAGGUUGGUGUCUUGAACACUGGCUUUCGGAGCUAACGCGUUAAGUAGACCGCCUGGGGAGUACGGUCGCAAGAUUAAAACUCAAAUGAAUUGACGGGGGCCCGCACAAGCGGUGGAGCAUGUGGUUUAAUUCGAUGCAACGCGAAGAACCUUACCUACUCUUGACAUCCACGGAAUCUAGCAGAGAUGCGGGAGUGCCUUCGGGAACUGUGAGACAGGUGCUGCAUGGCUGUCGUCAGCUCGUGUUGUGAAAUGUUGGGUUAAGUCCCGCAACGAGCGCAACCCUUAUCCUUGUUUGCCAGCACUUCGGGUGGGAACUCCAGGGAGACUGCCGGUGAUAAACCGGAGGAAGGUGGGGACGACGUCAAGUCAUCAUGGCCCUUACGAGUAGGGCUACACACGUGCUACAAUGGCAUAUACAGAGGGCAGCAAGACCGCGAGGUGGAGCGAAUCCCACAAAGUAUGUCGUAGUCCGGAUUGGAGUCUGCAACUCGACUCCAUGAAGUCGGAAUCGCUAGUAAUCGUGGAUCAGAAUGCCACGGUGAAUACGUUCCCGGGCCUUGUACACACCGCCCGUCACACCAUCGGAGUAUAGUCUGCUCGAGGCUCAGGAUAAGUCGUAACAGAGUAACCAUGCUAUAGUGAUG
rnacentral:rRNA from 1 species